GGACGAAAGUCUGACGGAGCAACGCCGCGUGUAUGAAGAAGGUUUUCGGAUCGUAAAGUACUGUUGUUAGAGAAGAACAAGGAUAAGAGUAACUGCUUGUCCCUUGACGGUAUCUAACCAGAAAGCCACGGCUAACUACGUGCCAGCAGCCGCGGUAAUACGUAGGUGGCAAGCGUUGUCCGGAUUUAUUGGGCGUAAAGCGCGCGCAGGCGGUCUUUUAAGUCUGAUGUGAAAGCCCCCGGCUUAACCGGGGAGGGUCAUUGGAAACUGGAAGACUGGAGUGCAGAAGAGGAGAGUGGAAUUCCACGUGUAGCGGUGAAAUGCGUAGAUAUGUGGAGGAACACCAGUGGCGAAGGCGACUCUCUGGUCUGUAACUGACGCUGAGGCGCGAAAGCGUGGGGAGCAAACAGGAUUA
rnacentral:rRNA from 1 species